UACGGAGGGUGCAAGCGUUAAUCGGAAUUACUGGGCGUAAAGCGCACGCAGGUGGCUGAGUCAGUCGAUUGUGAAAGCCCUGGGCUUAACCUGGGAAUUGCAGUCGAUACUACUCAGCUAGAGUAUGGGAGAGGGUAGUGGAAUUCCCGGUGUAGCGGUGAAAUGCGUAGAUAUCGGAAGGAACAUCAGUGGCGAAAGCGACUUCCUGGACCAGUACCGACGUUCAGGCACGAAAGCGUGGGGAGCAAACAGG
rnacentral:rRNA from 1 species